rnacentral:rRNA from 1 species
AACGAACGCUGGCGGCGCGCCUAAUACAUGCAAGUCGAGCGAGAAGACGUAGCAAUACGUUUGUAAAGCGGCGAACGGGUGAGGAAUACAUGGGUAACCUACCCUCGAGUGGGGAAUAACUAGCCGAAAGGUUAGCUAAUACCGCGUACGCUCCUUGGACUUCGGUUCAGGGAGGAAAGCGAUACCGUGGGUAUCGCGCUCUUGGAUGGGCUCAUGUCCUAUCAGCUUGUUGGGAGGUAACGGCUCACCAAGGCUUCGACGGGUAGCUGGUCUGAGAGGACGAUCAGCCACACUGGCACUGCGACACGGGCCAGACUCCUACGGGAGGCAGCAGUAAGGAAUAUUGCGCAAUGGGCGAAAGCCUGACGCAGCGACGCCGCGUGGGGGAUGAAGGUCUUCGGAUUGUAAACCCCUUUCGGGAGGGAAGAUGGAACGAGCAAUCGUUCGGACGGUACC